UGAUGAAACUGUCACGUUAAGCUUAUUUGACUCGCAAGCUGUUUCUUUCCACAAACAACUUGGAGAAUUAUGUGGUGAUCCAAAGGUUAUUGUUGCUACAAACAUAAACCCAAAGCUGAUUGGAGGUCGUUUGUUCUUGAACGCAACGUCAGGGACGCACGUAUAUUUUGAUAAGGAGACGAAUGCAGGGGAAGUUCUCUUCUACCAGUUGGUCGCUAGGGACACCGGUCUUCCAUCUGCCGCACCACUGCUUAGAGGAUAUGCAAAGGUUGAGCCUCUGAAGAUCGCUGAGCUCAACAAUUUCAUCGUCACUGCUCCAACACAGGAAAUUGACUUCUUAUGCGCGGGGAGAGUUGCUCGCGUUGAUGCAGAUAAGGGAUGGUGUUAUGUUGCUUGCUCCAAAUGCAGUAGAAAAUUGCAGCGCACCGUCUCUGCUUUUACAUGUGUUCGAUGCGCUAAUCCUCAUGCCAUUGAGGCUCUUCGGUAAGUAGCGUAUUCACUAUUAAACUAUGUAUAUAUCUAUACGUAUACAACUGCAUCUCAAUAAGUUGUCCUUCACUUUGCUGUUGUGUUGAGAUGGCUAUUGCUGAUGAUACUGCUGAGGGAAUAUUUGUUUGGUUUGAUGGUGUAAUGACGAAGCUCCAUAACCUCAGAGCAAGUGAGGCUGGUCAGAUGCUGAAGGAGUGAACCCUGAAGACACCGGUUUGCCUCCGUUCAUUGCAGACAUGGAACCUACACUUUCCAGGUCAGAGUCACUGCGUAUAACUUUACAGAGCACCAUAAGACGUUCACCAUAACACACAUCGUUGAUGAGAUUGACCGUGUGCCAUUACUUGACGUCGCCGACGAUUGGGAUGAUGGCGAUGAUGAUGAUGACAAGCCAGCUGCCAAGCCACUUCCUGUUGAGGUUCAAUCUGGAGGGGUCAGUGGUAAUGCACAUAAGAAGACUGUCGACUCAACUUCCAAUGUGUUCAAGAAGGCGCGUGUUGCUUGAUAUGGAGUAACAAUAAUUUUAUGAUCAGACUCCGAAUUAUAAUAAUACUUAUGCAUCGUUAUUACCUUUCACUUAUUUGGUUUUCUCUGUUUUUUCUUUCCCCAGUUUUAUGGGCACUCUAAUUAAUGUUUCAGACCAUCUUCGUGAUAUGAGUUUCUUUCUUUUUUGAAUCCUCA